GGGCCAUCCUGCUGACAGGGAAGGAAGGGAAACCAAUAUCCAAUUCUAUGUCAGGUGCUGUCACAUACACACUGUUUCUUUGGUCCCCCACAAGUUCAGAGAGGAUGCUACUUCCAGGAAAUCCGCUACUCAACGUGGAUGGAUUCCCUGUCCGGGAAGGAAACCAGAUUGCCUUCACAGCAGGGAGGAGCUCGCUGCCUGCCUUGCCAGCCAGGUGGAAUUUCAUUUCUCUAUGCUCGUGGGAUCUUGCACUUUAAUAAAGUUUCGUUAGUCA
rnacentral:lncRNA from 1 species